ACGACUGCUAAGACUGGAUAGGAGACAAGAAGGCAUCUUCUUGUUUUUAAAAGACCUAGCAAUAGGUAUGCUUAGGGAGGAGCUUGCGUCACAUUAGUUAGUUGGUGGGGUAAAGGCCUACCAAGACUAUGAUGUGUAGCCGGGCUGAGAGGUUGAACGGCCACAUUGGGACUGAGACACGGCCCAAACUCCUACGGGAGGCAGCAGUAGGGAAUUUUCGGCAAUGGAGGAAACUCUGACCGAGCAACGCCGCGUGAACGAUGAAGUAUUUCGGUACGUAAAGUUCUUUUAUUAGGGAAGAAUAAAUGAUGGAAAAAUCAUUCUGACGGUACCUAAUGAAUAAGCCCCGGCUAACUAUGUGCCAGCAGCCGCGGUAAUACAUAGGGGGCAAGCGUUAUCCGGAAUUAUUGGGCGUAAAGGGUGCGUAGGCGGUUAAAUAAGUUUAUGGUCUAAGUGCAAUGCUCAACAUUGUGAUGCUAUAAAAACUGUUUAGCUAGAGUAAGAUAGAGGCAAGUGGAAUUCCAUGUGUAGUGGUAAAAUGCGUAAAUAUAUGGAGGAACACCAGUAGCGAAGGCGGCUUGCUGGGUCUUUACUGACGCUGAGGCACGAAAGCGUGGGGAGCAAACAGGAUUAGAUACCCUGGUAGUCCACGCCGUAAACGAUGAGUACUAAACGUUGGGUAAAACCAGUGUUGAAGUUAACACAUUAAGUACUCCGCCUGAGUAGUACGUACGCAAGUAUGAAACUUAAAGGAAUUGACGGGACUCCGCACAAGCGGUGGAUCAUGUUGUUUAAUUCGAAGGUACCCGAAAAACCUCACCAGGUCUUGACAUGCUUCUGCAAAGCUGUAGAAACACAGUGGAGGUUAUCAGUUGCACAGGUGGUGCAUGGUUGUCGUCAGCUCGUGUCGUGAGAUGUUGGGUUAAGUCCCGCAACGAGCGCAACCCUUUAUUGUUAGUUACCAGCACGUAAUGGUGGGGACUUUAGCAAGACUGCCAGUGAUAAAUUGGAGGAAGGUGGGGACGACGUCAAAUCAUCAUGCCCCUUAUGACCUGGGCUACAAACGUGAUACAAUGGCUGUUACAAAGGGUAGCUGAAGCGCAAGUUUUUGGCGAAUCUCAAAAAAACAGUCUCAGUUCGGAUUGAAGUCUGCAACUCGACUUCAUGAAGUUAGAAUCGCUAGUAAUCGCGAAUCAGCAUGUCGCGGUGAAUACGUUCGCGGGGUUUGUACACACCGCCCGUCA
rnacentral:rRNA from 1 species